rnacentral:rRNA from 1 species
UAGGGAAUAUUAGAAAUGGACGCAAGUCUGAUCUAGCAACACCGCGUGUGCGAUGAAGGCCUUCGGGUUGUAAAGCACUUUUUGGAAGGAUUAGGAAGGAAUGUACUUCCAGGAUAAGUCUCGGCUAACUACGUGCCAGCAGCCGCGGUAACACGUAGGAGGCGAACGUUAUCCGGAUUUACUGGGCGUAAAGCGCGUGUAGGUGGUUCUGUAAGUAGGGCGUGAAAGCUCCUGGCUCAACUGGGAGAGGCCGAUCUAAACUGCAGAGCUAGAGGAUGGUAGAGGGAGGUGGAAUUCCGGGUGUAGCGGUGGAAUGCGCAGAUAUCCGGAGGAACACCAGUGGCGAAGGCGGCCUCCUGGACCAUUCCUGACACUCAGACGCGAAAGCUAGGGUAGCAAACGG